rnacentral:rRNA from 1 species
AUUGAACGCUGGCGGCAGGCCUAACACAUGCAAGUCGAGCGGUAGCACAGAGAGCUUGCUCUCGGGUGACGAGCGGCGGACGGGUGAGUAAUGUCUGGGAAACUGCCUGAUGGAGGGGGAUAACUACUGGAAACGGUAGCUAAUACCGCAUAAAGUCGCAAGACCAAAGUGGGGGACCUUCGGGCCUCAUGCCAUCAGAUGUGCCCAGAUGGGAUUAGCUGGUAGGUGGGGUAACGGCUCACCUAGGCGACGAUCCGUAGCUGGUCUGAGAGGAUGACCAGCCACACUGGAACUGAGACACGGUCCAGACUCCUACGGGAGGCAGCAGUGGGGAAUAUUGCACAAUGGGCGCAAGCCUGAUGCAGCCAUGCCGCGUGUGUGAAGAAGGCCUUCGGGUUGUAAAGCACUUUCAGCGGGGAGGAAGGCGGUGAGGUUAAUAACCUCAUCGAUUGACGUUACCCGCAGAAGAAGCACCGGCUAACUCCGUGCCAGCCGCCGCUGUAACAC